UAUAGUUUGGAUUCUGGCUCAGAAUGAACGCUGGCGGCAUGCCUAACACAUGCAAGUCGAACGAAGGCCCGAUUUCGGUUGGGUCCUUAGUGGCGCACGGGUGCGUAACGCGUGGGAAUCUGCCCCUUGGUUCGGAAUAACAGUUAGAAAUGACUGCUAAUACCGGAUGAUGACGUAAGUCCAAAGAUUUAUCGCCGAGGGAUGAGCCCGCGUAGGAUUAGCUAGUUGGUGUGGUAAGAGCGCACCAAGGCGACGAUCCUUAGCUGGUCUGAGAGGAUGAUCAGCCACACUGGGACUGAGACACGGCCCAGACUCCUACGGGAGGCAGCAGUGGGGAAUAUUGGACAAUGGGCGAAAGCCUGAUCCAGCAAUGCCGCGUGAGUGAUGAAGGCCUUAGGGUUGUAAAGCUCUUUUACCCGGGAUGAUAAUGACAGUACCGGGAGAAUAAGCUCCGGCUAACUCCGUGCCAGCAGCCGCGGUAAUACGGAGGGAGCUAGCGUUAUUCGGAAUUACUGGGCGUAAAGCGCACGUAGGCGGCUUUGUAAGUAAGAGGUGAAAGCCCAGAGCUCAACUCUGGAAUUGCCUUUUAGACUGCAUCGCUUGAAUCAUGGAGAGGUCAGUGGAAUUCCGAGUGUAGAGGUGAAAUUCGUAGAUAUUCGGAAGAACACCAGUGGCGAAGGCGGCUGACUGGACAUGUAUUGACGCCUGAGGUCCGAAAAGGACCGCG
rnacentral:rRNA from 1 species